UGGGGAAUAUUGGACAAUGGGGGGAACCCUGAUCCAGCCAUGCCGCGUGUGUGAAGAAGGCCUUAUGGUUGUAAAGCACUUUAAGCGAGGAGGAGGGUACUGGUAUUAAUACUACCAGGUACUGGACGUUACUCGCAGAAUAAGCACCGGCUAACUCUGUGCCAGCAGCCGCGGUAAUACAGAGGGUGCGAGCGUUAAUCGGAUUUACUGGGCGUAAAGCGUGCGUAGGCGGCUAAUUGAGUCGGAUGUGAAAUCCCCGAGCUUAACUUGGGAAUUGCAUUCGAUACUGGUUAGCUAGAGUGUGGGAGAGGAUGGUAGAAUUCCAGGUGUAGCGGUGAAAUGCGUAGAGAUCUGGAGGAAUACCGAUGGCGAAGGCAGCCAUCUGGCCUAACACUGACGCUGGGGUACGAAAGCAUGGGGAGGAAACAGG
rnacentral:rRNA from 1 species